rnacentral:tRNA from 1 species
GGGGGCAGCGGGUGCCACUCCAGAGUUGUCAUUCUGAGAGUGAGGAGUUCGACUCUCCUUGCCUCCACCA